rnacentral:tRNA from 1 species
GCCGCGGUGCUGGAAUUGGUUUACAGGAGCGACUUAAAAUCGCUUGGGAAUUUUCCCAUGUGGGUUCGAGUCCCACCCGCGGCA